rnacentral:lncRNA from 1 species
GGGAGGGGGUGUACCGGCCAUGCGGACGGGGGCGGAGCCGGAGGCGUGUUGACGAAUAUGCUUCGCGCAGAGAUGAUGCUAUGUGCGCUCGUGUGUGGACGCUAGCUCGCGCCCGGUCGAUCGCUCGCUCUUGUUGCUGCUGUGUUCCUUGUGGCUAGGUUUAAUUCUUCCUGGGUGAUUUGUUCUUGUUGCGUGGUUGAUCGGGAAUUCGGAAUAUGCUUCUGCUCUCUGGACCACCCCUGAUCUAUCUAUCGUCUGUACGAAGUGUGUGUGUUUCUAGUUCCCGUUUCAAUGUACGUAUAUGAGUGUUAGCACAUUGCCAAUAUCCACACUCUUUGUAGUAAUAAUGCUGUGUUUGAGAUAGUUGAAAGAAGAAAGAAGGUAGAUUUUCUCCAGCGCUUCAAAAGUGUCGUGGAUGAAGGGAAGGACCCAACUAUACAAGAGACGAGUUAACAAAAAAAUCGGAUGUAUAUGGAUCAAUAGUAAAAUAAAUAAUUCUCCCUCAACUCUACACGAAAUAAUAUUUUAUCGGUGAAAGUAUC